AGUGGAUAGCUAGCGAUGUAUUAUAAAAGAAAAUUGUCCCAGCUUGCAUUUGGUGGACUGUGCGGGGAGAAAGAAACCAAGUUUGUUUGAAGACAAAGCCAUUAGUAUACAGAAACUAAAGAUGGAAUGUUUAGGGCUUUUCUUUUUUUGGUGUAACCAUAGCUUAAUGGAUGAUUUAGAAUCAACUUAUGAUGUACUAGAUUCCUUGUGAGAAGAUUAAGGAUUAGGAGCUUCUUCAUUUCUUUAUUUCUGUUCUUUUGCUCAUCUGGAUGUAUAUAUGGGGGAUUACACACCCUUUGU
rnacentral:misc_RNA from 1 species